GCAGAUGGAAACUGGUUCAGCAGCCUGGUUAUCAGCAGCUAUGGAGGCUGGAGAGGGACUGCAGCACAGAGCACAGGGUGAUGGUAUCUUCCUGCAGAGGGGAUAGACAGUUCCUGUUGAGAGUAAACACCUUCUGGAAGUGUCUCCGUUUUUUGUAUCCUUUCUGCAGACAUCAGAGUCAUCAUUAGACGCUCGCGCUGCUGAAGGGUCGACCGCUGUGAGAUGGGAUGCGGUGGGUCGAGAUGCCGGAUUGAAGCCCACUCUGACAAACCAAAGGGGGCGGUCACCGAGGAGGCUGAGGAGUUUCUGAAGCAUGUAAACGACUCAAAAUGUUUCAGCAGCUCGCGGGAUCCCCCUCCAGCCAGCAGAGCCCUGCUGGACUUUGCUCAAAGGAUGUCAGAGGGCAUCGUCGCUCAGGCUCUGCAGCUCUGCUGGGAGGUGGAGAUCCGAUACGAUGAGCUGCCUUUCAUUGACAGCGACGUGGAUUAUGUUUAUGAACCCAGACGUUUUUCUGCUUGAACUCGAACCUCCGCCCGGACUGUGUGAAAAGGGUGAAGCUCAUUUCUUAGAGUUUCUACAGCGGAAAUCUGAGGCAUAUUUUAUUGUAAAAACUUUGUGGUGCAGAACAAGAAAUGGCAUUUAUAAAAUCUUGAAAGUUAUGACCAAAGACUAAAAAAGGAAACUAGAUUAUGACCACUACAAUCCAGGUGCUCAAGCUGGUGAUGAAAAGUGUUUAUGUUAACAGAUAAUUCAUGCAGUAAAAUAAAGGCAUAUUAUUCAUUAUUCAAA